ensembl:lncRNA
GUGCCUUGAUCACCCUUUUAACCAGUGUUUGAAUGCAGAGGUUUUAGCAAGACAGGCUAAUUGCUUUCUGCAUCAAACCAGGAGCAGGCUCCCUUCUGGCUUCCUCAGUGCUGCUGUUUAAGCCUCCAGUCUAGGGCAGAAGUUUUAAAAUACGUAUAUGCAAUAUAUAUAUAUAUAUAUUAAAAAAAACCAAAAAACACAAGGGCAACGUGCAAGAGUUUGAGGCAGAAACACAAGCAACAGUGUCCCAUCAGCACGUACUCCGUGCCAGGCGCUGAACCCGCAGCUGCUGUGCGCCCCGGGGGCGCUCUGAAUACUGCCAUCAGCUGCACGAGGGGCUCGAGGAGCCUCGUGCUGGCUGCUAACAGCCGCCCGUCCUCCCCUCAGCGCUCAGACAGCACCUCUCCGACGCCUGAGCCGCGUGGUGGACUGCGAGCACGAAUCCAAGUAUGGGUGGAUAUAUUUACGCAGAGUGAAUUAUGGCUGGAUGCGUUCCUAUGUCAACAUGUGCCACGUUGAUUUCUUG